AAGUUUUCGGAAUGGCGGCGCGCACCGGUUUAGAUACUAUAUGGAGAAAUAAUGUAAUUUCAUCGUUCAUUUUCUCGAAUCUUGCACCAGGUAGAAAUGUAGACUUUUUGGGAAGUUUUCUCUACUCGUCUUCAUCCUUCGAUUGUUACAAUUUUCUUUCGUAUGGCGCUAGUGUAGAACUGUACGAUAAAUAUAAUUUUAGAAAACUUGUCACAUUCCUAAUUAAUUAAUUAAUUUUAUCGAAAAUGCUUUUGAAUAGGGAAGAACUUUCUGAAAAAUGUUCCCCGUUUUUUAAAUAUAUAGUAUGUUUUUUGAAUAUGAUUCUUUAAAAUAACGAUAUCAUGCAUCGAGACGGUGAAUAUUUGUGUUCAUCGAAUAAUUAUGGCAAUUUACAAAAUCGUGUGUAUGUCAAGUUGCAUCGGAAUGACGACGACCCGAUGAAUUAAUAUCAUCUAAAAGACUUUCUCUCUUUUUAAAUUAAGUGUCUGGUAGAAUACAACACUUGUAGUUAAGAUGGUGAUAAUCUUUAUUGAAAUAAUCUGAUUCACCAAAAUGUCACUGAUACUGCAAAAAAUAUGCCAAUUUUUUCUUAGCACUUGCAUUAUUUUUUAGUAUUAGUGACGUUUGUGAAUCAUAUCUUGUGAUAUGUAAAACAACAUAACUACAGAUUUGUUGUUUGGUUAUUAGCAUCGAUUUGGCUUAAUUUAUAAUUCAUUUAUUCAUUAUUUUAACAGUUCACAGCAUCAGAAAAAUUAUUUUGCAACACUACAUUAUCAGUGGAUCCUUA
rnacentral:lncRNA from 1 species